CCUACUGGAGGCAGCAGUGAGGAAUAUUGGUCAAUGGACGCAAGUCUGAUGGAGCAACGCCGCGUGAAUGAAGAAGGCUUUCGGCUCGUAAAGCUCUGUUGGGAGGGAAGAGAGAUAGAGGUAGUAACUUGCCUUUAUUUGACGGUAAUUACUUAGAAAGUCACGGCUAACUACGUGCCAGCAGCCGCGGUAAUACGUUGGUGGCAAGCGUUGUCCGGAUUUAUUGGGUGUAAAGCGAGUGCAGGCGGGUCAAUAAGUCUGAUGUGAAAGCCUUGGGCUCAACCGGAGAACUGCAUGAGAAAAUGUUGAAGUUGAGUGCAGAAGAGGAGAGUGGAAUUCCAUGUGUAGCGGUGGAAUGCGUAGAUAUAUGGAAGAACACCAGUGGCGAAGGCGGCUCUCUGGUCUGUAACUGACGCUGAGGCUCGAAAGCAUGGGUAGCGAACAGGAUUAGAUACCCUAGUAGUC
rnacentral:rRNA from 1 species